rnacentral:lncRNA from 1 species
AGGUAUGUAUGCAAGUACAGUGAUACAGGAAAACAGGUACUAACAAGAGCAAAGCAGCGGGCAACAUAUUUGCGAUAUCCUGUCGUUCUUAUCAAACCGGAAUUCUUUUUCGAGCAGAUUUCCUGCAAAAAAGAUCCGUAAGGCACAUGCGGAAAAGUAGAAGUUCAAAUUGUCAUGCGAUAUCAUAGACAGUUCCUCAUCCUCGGAACGAGACCAGUGCAUAACAAGGUUUUUCCAUUCAAUGUCUUCUAAAUUUAGCACAGGAGACUUCACCAGAAAUUCGUUUAUAGACUUGCCAUCAAAGUGUGAUUUCCUCAGGUAACACCGAUACUGCUGCAAUGCUUCCUUGAAAAGCGCAAGCAAGCUUUGCUCGUCAUGAC